rnacentral:lncRNA from 1 species
GAAAAACAGAGAAGGCUGGCAUCUCCAGGUGUGGUAGCACGCACCUUCAAUCCCAGCACCAGAGGGUUGAUGGCAGGCAGAUCUGCGGCCUGCCAGGUCUACUUAGUGAGUUCUGGGCCAGCCAGAGACCCUGUCUUACAAGUUUCCAAACACCGUGGAGUACCCAGACGAUAGGGGUGAAAGGUUUCCUGUGUGGUAGGUAGUGAGGUCCUUUCAGAUGGGACCCACUGUGUUGGGGUGAGAGCAAGGAGCCAUCUCCCCAAGAACAUGCUAAGGUGGUGUCAUUGGGACAGGGUUGUUCUCUUGCCAGCUCUGGCAUAACUACAAUUUUGGGCUCCAUCCCAAAGUUGUAAGUUGGUUAGGCCCAUGGCAGGCACUGAACCCACUAAGGCACACCCUCAGGGCUCUGCUAGGGAUUAAAGUAUUAGAGGGGUCAGAUCCAGAAUGCACCUGGAGACCCAGACGCCGAAGCCCACACCCUGAAUUAUGGCCCUAUGUGGUCCCACAGGGCACAUGCUCCUGGUGUGGUUACCUUGGCCAAGAGACCCUGUUGUGGAGCCCUUACCCCAUUCUCCAACAGAUGAAACCACUUCAGUCCUCUGGUUUUUAUUUGCCUAAUCUCUCCCCACAUAGGUACCGAGGAAGGGUGACUUCAGAGGGUACACAGGGUUAGACCAGAGGCAGGGCAGCAGGAAUGCCAGGGCUGGACCACCUGCUUCUGAGGCAAGUGUGGAAGAUGAACAGAAGGAACCAGGCAGCCUUCAGGACCACGGAAUGGAGUGGCUUCCCCAGGGGACUGACGACCUGUAACCUGGGCGUCCCUCCUUGCCCCACCACUUCCCCAUGUAGCUCCUGCCUCUUUGGCAGGAAGCUGAAGCAGGAAAGAGGCUCAGGUUGUCUUUCCCUAGAGACCCGAGGCUAGCUGGGACCUGAGGCUAGCUGGGUAUUGUUCUUGAAGGGUGGCCUGGGGUGGGGGACUCAAAAGGUGGCAGUUGUCCAUGGCCCCUGGCAGGUGGGGCUGGCAUUGCCCUUGCUGCUCCUCAGCUGGGGCUGAGUGCUGGGCUGCCCUCAGGGCUGUCGCUCACCAGGCAUUCGUUGGAUUUGAAGCUCGCCAGGGACUUGCAGCUGGGGAUGGAGGCCAGGGAGCCGCAGAGGCCCAGCAUGGAGGGCGUGGGGUCCUUCCCUGGGGAGAGAGGGCGGGUAAGGCUGGGCCAACCGGUCUGCGUGUAUGUGGGGAGGAGGUCCUCAUUGGUGGGCAGAAAGGGGGCUAUUCUCAUGUCAUCCCUAGGAGACACGGCCUCUUCUGCAGCAUCAGCCAUUUUUAAUUAAACCUUGAUUGAACAUCCCUUG